rfam:Gossypium arboreum cultivar AKA8401 contig_2726_1, whole genome shotgun sequence.
UGUUAAAAAAAUUAUCCAUUUCUACUGUUAAAAACAGACAUGGUUGACAGAAUAACCAAUAGCAAUUACACAUGAUGUGCUAUGUAUACCUCUUGUUGACUUACAGUGAUAAUUUUUUUACAAUAAAAAUAGGUGAAAUUUUUAACA